ACACAUUUAACUUUAAAUCACACACAUUCCGACACGUGUUCCGGGGUGCUUCCAGUGUUUACUGAGAAGUCGGAGGCAUGGGGGAUGUGGAGGCCUAAC
rnacentral:sRNA from 1 species